CGACCGGCGCACGGGUGAGUAACGCGUAUGCAACUUACCUAUCAGAGGGGGAUAGCCCGGCGAAAGUCGGAUUAAUACCCCAUGAAACAGGGGUCCCGCAUGGGAAUAUAUGUUAAAGAUUCAUCGCUGAUAUAUAGGCAUGCGUUCCAUUAGGCAGUUGGCGGGGUAACGGCCCACCAAGCCGACGAUGGAUAGGGGUUCUGAGAGGAAGGUCCCCCACACUGGUACUGAGACACGGACCAAACUCCUACGGGAGGCAGCAGUGAGGAAUAUUGGUCAAUGGCCGAGAGGCUGAACCAGCCAAGUCGCGUGAAGGAAGAAGGAUCUAUGGUUUGUAAACUUCUUUUAUAGGGGAAUAAAGUGGAGGACGUGUCCUUUUUUGUAUGUACCCUAUGAAUAAGCAUCGGCUAGCUCCGUGCCAGCAGCCGCGGUAAUACGGAGGAUGCGAGCGUUAUCCGGAUUUAUUGGGUUUAAAGGGUGCGUAGGUGGUGAUUUAAGUCAGCGGUGAAAGUUUGUGGCUCAACCAUAAAAUUGCCGUUGAAACUGGGUUACUUGAGUGUGUUUGAGGUAGGCGGAAUGCGUGGUGUAGCGGUGAAAUGCAUAAAUAUCACGCAGAACUCCGAUUGCGAAGGCAGCUUACUAAACCAUAACUGACACUGAAGCACGAAAGCGUGGGGAUCAAACAGGAUUAGAUACCCUGGUAGUCCAC
rnacentral:rRNA from 1 species